rnacentral:rRNA from 1 species
GUGUCAGCCGCCGCGGUAAUACGGAGGGGGUUAGCGUUGUUCGGAAUUACUGGGCGUAAAGCGCGCGUAGGCGGAUUAGAAAGUUGGGGGUGAAAUCCCGGGGCUCAACCUCGGAACUGCCUCCAAAACUGCUAGUCUAGAGUUCGAGAGAGGUGAGUGGAAUUCCGAGUGUAGAGGUGAAAUUCGUAGAUAUUCGGAGGAACACCAGUGGCGAAGGCGGCUCACUGGCUCGAUACUGACGCUGAGGUGCGAAAGUGUGGGGAGCAAACAGGAUUAGAUACCCUGGUAGUCCACACCGUAAACGAUGAAUGCCAGUCGUCGGGUAGUAUACUAUUCGGUGACACACCUAACGGAUUAAGCAUUCCGCCUGGGGAGUACGGUCGCAAGAUUAAAACUUAAAUGAAUUGGCGGGG